UAGGGAAUCUUCGGCAAUGGGGGGAACCCUGACCGAGCAACGCCGCGUGAGUGAAGAAGGUUUUCGGAUCGUAAAGCUCUGUUGUUAAGGAAGAACGAGUGUGAGAAUGGAAAGUUCAUGCUGUGACGGUACUUAACCAGAAAGGGACGGCUAACUACGUGCCAGCAGCCGCGGUAAUACGUAGGUCCCGAGCGUUGUCCGGAUUUAUUGGGCGUAAAGCGAGCGCAGGCGGUUAGAAAAGUCUGAAGUGAAAGGCAGUGGCUCAACCAUUGUAGGCUUUGGAAACUGUUUAACUUGAGUGCAGAAUGGGAGAGUGGAAUUCCAUGUGUAGCGGUGAAAUGCGUAGAUAUAUGGAGGAACACCGGUGGCGAAAGCGGCUCUCUGGUCUGUAACUGACGCUGAGGCUCGAAAGCGUGGGGAGCGAACAGG
rnacentral:rRNA from 1 species